GCCAAAAGCACUUUCACACAAAGGUCUUGUUGAUGUGAUGCAGUCAGUAGGGGGAGAUGUGACUUUAAUGUACAGGUAUUCCUCUCUCUCUGUUGAUACUAAAGUCUUGUACUCUCUCUCUCACCUUGUCAGAUUAUUUUUGCUGUGUGCAUAGCCAGAGUAUUUUUUAACCCUGUUUUAGAAGAAUGUUCAGAGCUGCGUAUGGACUGUGCUUUUAUUUAUUAUUAUAUAUAGGGAUGGUGCGAUGUGUGACCGUUCAACAGAACCCCACAUCCAUUUUAGCCAACGAGAAAUCUGCAGUGAUAAAUUGUAGUUAUGAUGAUAGUAACAUGGAUUAUAUGCAAUGGUAUCAGCAGAAGGAUACAGCCAUGGUCUUGAUCGUCUUCAGUUACAGUGCUACAGGUGAACCCACGUUUGAAGAUGGAUUUAAAGGCCGGACUGAACUGGACAGAACAGAAACACUGAAGGGAGUCCUGAAAAUCUCUGAUCUCAGUUCAUCAGACUCGGCUGUUUAUUACUGUGCUGUCAGUAUGCACAGUGCUGUAGUCUUUAUUACCUGCCUGACUAAAAACCAAGCCACCAGACAAACAGGAAAUGCAAUACGUACAAAUGAGGAAUCUAACCUCUGUAUCUUUUUCUUUUUUUCAGAUUUUCUUUUUCAAAGAUUUUUGUACUUUCUGUCAGUUUUUAAUUGAAAACACAAUCAAAUAUAAGCUUUCCUCCAAAACUAGUAGACCUACCUAGACAACAUUUUAAGGCAUCAUGUGUGGUGGCCAAAUUUUACAGUAACAUAUCCUUCACAGAUAACACAAUACCAGGAUGCAUUGCGACAGUAUCUGUGAAACAUACAAGAUGAUGGAUGCAGUCGAGAGAAAUAUUUCCAAUAAAUACUUACAUUUCAUGCAACAAAAACAGUUUCAGUCAAAUCCACAGCAAAAUAUUCUGUUGCUGGGGGCUACAUUGUUAUUUCUUCCUCUAAUGAGGAAGGUUUUGGAACUAAUUUCACAGUGUCAAGUACACAGACUAAUUAAUGGACCCUGAAAGUGGAUGUUAAUGAUGGGAUUGAUGCUGUGUAUCUGUGUGCUGCUAGUUUACACAAUGAAACAAAUAAAAAGAAAAAGAAAUGGUGUAAGAAAAAAUGCAAUAAAAUCCUGCAAUCACACCUGCCUUAACCAUGAAUAAAUAAACCCAUAUUUGUACAAACCAGUCAGCAGAACCUGACAAC
rnacentral:lncRNA from 1 species